rnacentral:rRNA from 1 species
GACGAACGCUGGCGGCGUGCUUAACACAUGCAAGUCGAACGAAGUGGCGAACGGGUGAGUAACGCGUAAUCAACCUGCCCUUCAGCGGGGGACAACAGUUGGAAACGACUGCUAAUACCGCAUACUGAAGGAGGGGAUUGCGUGUGAUUAGCUAGUUGGCGGGGUAACGGCCCACCAAGGCGAUGAUCGGUUGCCGGGCUGAGAGGGGGAAUGACCACGUUGGGACUGAGAAACGGCCCAAACCACUACGGGAGGCAGCAGUGGGGAAGCGUGCGAAAUGGACGAAAGUCUGACGGAGCAACGCCGCGUGAGUGAUGACGGCCUUCGGGUUGUAAAGCUCUGUUAAUCGGGACGCGGUACCGGAAUAGAAAGCCACGGCUAACUACGUGCCAGCAGCCGCGGUAAUAC